AUUCCGGAGAAGGAGCUUGAGAAUUGGCUACUACAUCUAAGGAAGGCAGCAGGCGCGCAAAUUACCCAAUCCCGAUUCGGGGAGGUAGUGACAAAAAAUAACAAUACCGGGCCUUUUUGGGCUUGGUAAUUGGAAUGAGGGAGAGUUAAACGGACCAUCGAGUAUCCAUUGGAGGGCAAGUCUGGUGCCAGCAGCUGCGGUAAUACCAGCUCCAAUAGCGUAUAUUAAAGUUGUUGCAGUUAAAAAGCUCGUAGUUGGACUUGUGUGCGCUGUCCGCGGGUGGCCUGCGCCCAAAAGGGCGUUUCGGUUCGGCCCCGGUGGCGCCUUGAAAUCUGCAGCUGGGGGGACGUUGGCCUUAACUGGUCGGCGACCGCACGCCGGCUGCUCGGUUACUGUGAGAAAAUUAGAGUGUUCAAGGCAGGCAUUGGGUGCAAUUGAAUACAUUAGCAUGGAAUAAUAAAAUAUGGCUCCUGCCGUAUUUUGUUGGUUUUGACUGGUGGGAGUAAUGAUUGAUAGGGACGGUUGGGGGUGCUAGUAUUGAGCGGCCAGAGGUGAAAUUCAUGGAUUCGCUCAAGACUAACUUAUGCGAAAGCAUUCACCAAGGACGUCCUCUUUAAUCAAGAACGAAAGUUGGGGGAUCGAAGACGAUCAGAUACCGCCGUAGUCUCAACCAUAAACUAUGUCGACUUGGGAUCGGCGGUAGUUUUUUCAUUAAGACACUGUCGGGACCACGGGAGAAAUCAAAGUGUCUGGACUCUGGGGGAAGUAUGGUCGCAAGGCUGAAACUUGAAGGAAUUGACGGAAGGGCACCACCAGGAGUGGAGCCUGCGGCUUAAUUUGACACAACACGGGGAAACUUACCAGGUCCAGAGAUGUAGAGGAUUGACAGAUUGAAGCUCUUUCUUGAUCACUUCGGUGGUGGUGCAUGGCCGUUCUUAGUUGGUGGAGUGAUUUGUCUGGCUAAUUCCGUUAACGAACGAGACCUCAGCCUGCUAGUGUAGUCGGCUGGAUUGCCUUUGGCGAUCCGUGAUUUCGACUUCUUAGAGGGACAAUCGACGCGCAGUCGAUGGAAGUUUGAGGCAAUAACAGGUCUGUGAUGCCCUUAGAUGUUCUGGGCCGCACGCGCGCUACACUGCUGGGCUCAGCGAGUUUUACUUGGCCGAGAGGCCCGGUUAAUCUUGUGAAAUCCCAGCGUGCUUGGGCUCGCCUCCUGCAACUGGAGGCGCCAACGAGGAAUUCCUAGUAGACGCAGGUCAUCAACCUGCAUCGAUUACGUCCCUGCCCUUUGUACACACCGCCCGUCGUUCCAUAAGAGUGAGGCAUCCGGUGAAUUCUCGGGAGAGCCUGGGCGUGGCCAGCAAUGGUCUGCUCGGGUUUGAACUUGCAUAAACUUGGUGCCUAUGAUUAGGGAAAAGUCGUAACAAGGUU
rnacentral:rRNA from 1 species